rnacentral:lncRNA from 1 species
GGAAUGCGGGAUUCUACGAAGUGGGCUGUGUCUCCACACCCCUAGAAGCUGGAUAUUCUGUCCUGGGCUGGAAUCAUCCAGGCUUUGCUGGGAGCACGGGGGUACCAUUCCCACAGAAUGAGGCCAAUGCCAUGGAUGUGGUGGUUCAGUUUGCCAUCCACCGCCUGGGCUUCCAGCCCCAGGACAUUGUCAUCUACGCCUGGUCCAUUGGAGGCUUCACUGCCACGUGGGCAGCCAUGUCCUACCCAGACAUUAGUGCUGUUAUCCUGGAUGCCUCCUUCGACGACUUGGUGCCCUUGGCCUUGAAGGUCAUGCCGGAUAGCUGGCGUGAGUGCGGCUCCCAAGCUGGCCCUUCCCGGGGAGGGUGGCAGCACAGCUCUUCUGACUGGGUGCUGCGGGUAUGUGGGUGGGGAUAGGCCGCCCCACUGCCGAGAGGCGGGCUUCCCUGCCCAGUGGGCAGUGGGGACCUUUAUGUUAGGCAAACUCCUCAUCUCCGUCCUUCAUGCUGUCCCCAUGGUGUCUAGGAGCCCUGGUGACCAGGACAGUGAGGCAGCACCUCAACCUCAACAACGCGGAGCAGCUGUGCAGGUGAGGUGGCCUCAGGUGAGGUGGCCUCAGGUGAGGUGGCCGCAGCCCCCGGGGUGCUCCGGUGUGCUGAGGGGAGAAGUGUCAGCGAGUGACCCUGCCACUACCCUGGCUGCCCAAGCCUUCCCAGGUCUUUGAGACCCCAAAUUUACGCACUCAUGACAUGGCAAUGAAGGGUUAAGCCUGUCUACCAGGCUGGACUGAGCCUGUGCCCUUCUUAAACCUGUUACUCCUGCCUCAGCUGUGGCCUGGCUCUCUGAGCUCUCCCUCCCUGCUGCUCUGUUCUGAAGGUUCCAGGGCCCUGUGCUGCUGGUCCGGAGAACCAAGGAUGAGAUCAUCACCACCACGGUUCCUGAGGACAUCAUGUCCAACAGAGGCAAUGACCUCCUGCUGAAGCUCCUGCAGUUCCGGUACCCUCGAGUGAUGACAGAGGAGGGGCUCAGAGCUGUGAGGCAGUGGCUGGAGGCCUCCUCCCAGCUAGAGGAAGCCUCCAUUUAUAGUCGCUGGGAGGUGGAUGAGGACUGGUGUGUGUCUGUGCUUCGCUCCUACCAGGCAGAGCAUGGGCCUGAUUUCCCCUGGAGUGUGGGGGAAGACAUGAGUGUAGAUGGACGGAGGCAACUGGCGCUGUUUCUGGCUCGGAAGCAUCUGCACAACUUUGAGGCCACACACUGCACUCCACUCCCAGCCCAGCACUUCCAGAUGCCCUGGUGCCUCUAGGCACCACAUAGACUCCUCUGGAAGGACAAGAUGGGAGGAGACACGAGGGGGCUACUUU